CAGCCGCCGCGGGAAUACGAAGGGUGCAAGCGUUAAUCGGAAUUACUGGGCGUAAAGCGCGCGUAGGCGGUUACUCAAGUCAGAGGUGAAAGCCCGGGGCUCAACCCCGGAACUGCCUUUGAAACUAGGUGACUAGAAUCUUGGAGAGGUCAGUGGAAUUCCGAGUGUAGAGGUGAAAUUCGUAGAUAUUCGGAAGAACACCAGUGGCGAAGGCGACUGACUGGACAAGUAUUGACGCUGAGGUGCGAAAGCGUGGGGAGCAAACAGGAUUAGAUACCCCAGUAGUCCCUGUCUCUUAUAC
rnacentral:rRNA from 1 species